rnacentral:rRNA from 1 species
UAACCUGCCCAAGAGAUCGGGAUAACACCUGGAAACAGAUGCUAAUACCGUAUAACAACAGAUGAUGCCUAUCAACUGUUUAAAAGAUGGUUCUGCUAUCACUCUUGGAUGGACCUGCGGUGCAUUAGCUAGUUGGUAGGGUAACGGCCUACCAAGGCGAUGAUGCAUAGCCUAGUUGAGAGACUGAUCGGCCACAUUGGGACUGAGACACGGCCCAAACUCCUACGGGAGGCAGCAGAG